GAUGAAGAACGUAGCGAAAUGCGAUAAGUAAUGUGAAUUGCAGAAUUCAGUGAAUCAUCGAAUCUUUGAACGCACAUUGCGCCCGCCAGUAUUCUGGCGGGCAUGCCUGUUCGAGCGUCAUUACAACCCUCAGGCCCCCGGGCCUGGCGUUGGGGAUCGGCGGAGCCCCCCGUGGGCACACGCCGUCCCCCAAAUGCAGUGGCGGUCCCGCCGCAGCUUCCAUCGCGUAGUAGCUAACACCUCGCGACUGGAGAGCGGCGCGGCCACGCCGUAAAACACCCAACUCUUCUGAAUGUUGACCUCGGAUCAGGUAGGAAUACCCGCUGAACUUAAGCAUAUCAAUAAGCGGAGGA
rnacentral:misc_RNA from 1 species